rnacentral:tRNA from 1 species
UCCCUGGUGGUCUAGUGGUUCAGACUUGGAGUUUUUACAGCUGUGGCCCAGGUUCAAUCCUUGGUCUGGGAA